rnacentral:rRNA from 1 species
GGUGAACGCUGGCGGCGUGCUUAACACAUGCAAGUCGAACGAAGCACUUUCACUUGAUUCUUCGGAUGAAGGCGAUGGUGACUUAGUGGCGGACGGGUGAGUAACGCGUGGGUAACCUGCCCUGUACAGGGGGACAACAGCUGGAAACGGCUGCUAAUACCGCAUAAGCGCACAGCACCGCAUGGUGCAGUGUGGAAAACUCCGGUGGUACAGGAUGGGCCCGCGUUGGAUUAGGUAGUUGGUGGGGCAAAGGCCUACCAAGCCGACGAUCCAUAGCCGACCUGAGAGGGUGGCCGGCCACAUUGGGACUGAGACACGGCCCAAACUCCUACGGGAGGCAGCAGUGGGGAAUAUUGCACAAUGGGCGGAAGCCUGAUGCAGCGACGCCGCGUGAGCGAAGAAGUAUUUCGGGUAUGUAAAGCUCUAUCAGCAGGGAAGAAAAUGACGGUACCUGACUAAGAAAGCUCCGGGCUAAAAUACGUGCCAGCCCG